rnacentral:rRNA from 1 species
ACGUAGGUGGCAAGCGUUGUCCGGAAUUAUUGGGCGUAAAGGGCGUGCAGGCGGCUGAUCAAGUCUGUCUUAAAAGUGCGGGGCUUAACCCCGUGAUGGGACGGAAACUGAUUGGCUAGAGUGUCGGAGAGGAAAGCGGAAUUCCUAGUGUAGCGGUGAAAUGCGUAGAUAUUAGGAGGAACACCAGUGGCGAAAGCGGCUUUCUGGACGACAACUGACGCUGAGGCGCGAAAGCCAGGGGAGCGAACGG